GACAGUAUAUUUAAAGUGUAAUAAUAUUUACUCUGCAAGUAAAAGUUGGAUGCGUUGUGUUCUACUGUUG
rnacentral:tRNA from 1 species